GUCACUUUGUCCGAGUGGUUAAGGAGAGAGUUUAGAACACUCUUGCGGUAACGCGCACAGGUUCGAGUCCUGUAGGUGACU
rnacentral:tRNA from 2 species